AGAGUUUGAUCCUGGCUCAGGAUGAACGCUAGCGACAGGCCUAACACAUGCAAGUCGAGGGGCAACAUGGUAUCAGCUUGCUGAUACCGAUGGCGACCGGCGCACGGGUGAGUAACGCGUAUGUAAUCUACCUGUAACAGAGGGAUAACCCGGAGAAAUCCGGACUAAUACCUCAUAGCACAUAUUAUUCGCAUGAGUUUUAUGUUAAAGAGACUCGGUUACAGAUGAACAUGCGUUCCAUUAGCUGGUUGGCGGGGUUACGGCCCACCAAGGCAACGAUGGAUAGGGGUUCUGAGAGGAAGGUCCCCCACACUGGUACUGAGACACGGACCAGACUCCUACGGGAGGCAGCAGUGAGGAAUAUUGGUCAAUGGGCGAAAGCCUGAACCAGCCAAGUCGCGUGGAGGAAGACGGCCCUACGGGUUGUAAACUCCUUUUACCUGGGAAUAACGGGCGCUACGCGUAGCGCUGUGCAAGUACCGGGAGAAUAAGCAUCGGCUAAUUCCGUGCCAGCAGCCGCGGUAAUACGGAAGAUGCGAGCGUUAUCCGGAUUUAUUGGGUUUAAAGGGUGCGUAGGCGGAAGAAUAAGUCAGCGGUGAAAUGCUUCAGCUCAACUGGAGAAUUGCCGAUGAAACUGUUUUUCUAGAGUAUAAAAGAGGUAUGCGGAAUGCGUGGUGUAGCGGUGAAAUGCAUAGAUAUCACGCAGAACCCCGAUUGCGAAGGCAGCCUGCUAGGGUGAAACAGACGCUGAGGCACGAAAGCGUGGGUAUCGAACAGGAUUAGAUACCCUGGUAGUCCACGCAGUAAACGAUGAAUACUAACUGUUUGCGAUACAAUGUAAGCGGUACAGCGAAAGCGUUAAGUAUUCCACCUGGGGAGUACGCCGGCAACGGUGAAACUCAA
rnacentral:rRNA from 1 species